rnacentral:sRNA from 1 species
AGGCAGGAUGUCUAGGGUUCCGCCUCCGCCGAGGGUCAGGUCCGAGAGAUAUCGCCGUGCGGCGAAAGACCGGGCGGUACACGGCGGGGCAAAAUCCCGGGAGGC